AAUAGUUUUUUAAAUGGAAACUGGGAUGAAUGAAGUGAUGAAAUUUAUACUGUCUUGAGUUAAAUAGUUAAAUUUAUUAAUUAAGUAAAAAUACUUAAAUAUAAGUAUGGGACGAGAAGACCCUAUAGAAUUUUAUAUAAAUUUAAAAGUAAGAGCUAGUGGUAAUAUUUUUUAGAUUUAUAUUUUGUUGGGAGGAUAGUUAAAUUAAUAAAACUUUAAUAAAAUUAUAAGUCAUUGAUUUAUGAUAAAUAGUGGAUGGUUAAUAAAUUUAUUUAGAAUUAAUUACCUUAGGGAUAACAGCAUAAUAUCUUUGGAGAGAUCUUAUUAAUAAAGAUGAUUGU
rnacentral:rRNA from 1 species